AUUAUAUUGGGGAAUGUUUCCUGAAACAUCCAAGUGGCCUAAGAAUCUUUGAUUCGAGAAGCGCAAUUGACAUAGCUCUCCCCACACAACUGCUUCCUUAUCUCCUGGACAAAGCUGCCUGAUAUCUUGAGAUGCUGCGGCUACGCAGGUACGGCAGCUUUCAUUUUUUACAUAGUUGAGGCACAUAUAUUGAGCAUACACUCUGUCUGGAUCAAUUCCAGUAGAGGUAUUGAAAAUUUUUGAAACAGAAGCAUUUGAGGAAAGAGAAGACAUGAGGGUCUCGAGAUUGUUUUGAAAUGGACUAUUAUCUGUAUAGUUAGAUUUGUUCGAGCAUAGUCUGUAAGGAGGAUCAGCAUAAGCAAGAUCAAGAAGGUUGGCAAUGGAAAAAUACAGCAAAAGAAUUUGAAAACUUUUUUUAACAAGAAGGAAAUUGUGACCCAUAUCUUGUGUUUUGAGAUUUCGACACUAGCUAUCAAGAAUCAUCUAUAAUUUGUAGCUGAAAUU